rnacentral:rRNA from 1 species
CCUACGGGGAGCUGCAGUCGAGAAUCAUUCACAAUGGGGGAAACCCUGAUGGUGCGACGCCGCGUGGGGGAAUGAAGGUCUUCGGAUUGUAAACCCCUGUCAUGUGGGAGCAAAUUAAAAAGAUAGUACCAUAAGAGCAAGAUACGGCUAACUCUGUGCCAGCAGCAGCGGUAAUAAAGAGGUCUCAAGCGUGGUUCGGAAUCACUGGGCGUAAAGCGUGCGUAGGCGGUUUCGUAAGUCGGGUGUGAAAGGCGAGGGCUGAACCCGCGGAUGGCACAUGAUACUGCGAGACUAGAGUAAUGGAGGGGGAACCGGAAUUCUCGGUGUAGCAGUGAAAUGCGUAGAGAUCGAGAGGAACACUCGUGGCGAAGGCGGGUUCCUGGACAUUAACUGACGCUGAGGCACGAAGGCCAGGGGAGCGAAAGGGAUUAGAUACCCCUGUAGUC